CACAAAUGGGAUUGGUGGAGAGGAAGUGGAGGCAGAAAGUGAAAGGGAAGUAGUUGAAUAAGAGAGAGAAAUGCCCAGGGCUUCAGAUUGAGAAGACGAGAAGCUAGAAUUAAGUUUGAGGGAUUGGGGUGUCAUUGGCAGUGCCCCUGCUAUCAGCGACGCCAUGGCUGAGCUUCAGCUUCUUCUUGGGGAUAAGCCGAUAAGGUCCUUGGAGAUCGUUUGGUUGGGACUCUAAUC
rnacentral:misc_RNA from 1 species